CCUACGGGUGGCAGCAGUGGGGAAUUGUUCGCAAUGGGCGCAAGCCUGACGACGCAACGCCGCGUGGAGGAUGAAGAUCUUCGGGUCGUAAACUCCUGUCGAAUGGGACGAAUGGGUUGCGGGGUAAUAUCCCGCGACCGUGACGGUACCGUUAAAGGAAACCCCGGCUAACUCCGUGCCAGCAGCCGCGGUAAUACGGGGGGGGUAAGCGUUGUUCGGAAUUACUGGGCGUAAAGGGCUCGUAGGCGGCCAACUAAGUCAGACGUGAAAUCCCUCAGCUUAACUGGGGAACUGCGUCUGAUACUGGAUGGCUUGGAUUCGGGAGAGGGAUGCGGAAUUCCAGGUGUAGCGGUGAAAUGCGUAGAUAUCUGGAGGAACACCGGUGGCGAAGGCGGCAUCCUGGACCGAUAUUGACGCUGAGGAGCGAAAGCCAGGGGAGC
rnacentral:rRNA from 1 species